AGAUUCUACUCAUUGGUCGAAUAACCACUGUGGUCUCUCAUCUUUUAUUAGAGAAAGAGGCCCUUUCCAAAUUCAUUCUGAAGUUCCAGAUGGAGAAUUGUGCAUUUCUCACAUUUCUAGUCUUUCAAUGUUGUUGAAAAAGGUGUAAUGUAAGCACAAUACUG
rnacentral:lncRNA from 1 species